rnacentral:rRNA from 1 species
UGGGGAAUAUUGCACAAUGGGCGCAAGCCUGAUGCAGCCAUGCCGCGUGUAUGAAGAAGGCCUUCGGGUUGUAAAGUACUUUCAGCGGGGAUGAAGGGAGUAAAGUUAAUACCUUUGCUCAUUGACGUUACCCGCAGAAGAAGCACCGGCUAACUCCGUGCCAGCAGCCGCGGUAAUACGGAGGGUGCAAGCGUUAAUCGGAAUUACUGGGCGUAAAGCGCACGCAGGCGGUUUGUGAAGUCAGAUGGGAAAUCCCCGGGCUCAACCUGGGAACUGCAUCUGAUACUGGCAAGCUUGAGUCUCGUAGAGGGGGGUAGAAUUCCAGGUGUAGCGGUGAAAUGCGUAGAGAUCUGGAGGAAUACCGGUGGCGAAGGCGGCCCCCUGGACGAAGACUGACGCUCAGGUGCGAAAGCGUGGGGAGCAAACA